UACGUAGGGUGCGAGCGUUGUCCGGAAUUACUGGGCGUAAAGAGCUCGUAGGCGGUUUGUCGCGUCGUUCGUGAAAACUUGGGGCUUAACUCCGAAGCGUGCGGGCGAUACGGGCAGACUUGAGUACUACAGGGGAGACUGGAAUUCCUGGUGUAGCGGUGAAAUGCGCAGAUAUCAGGAGGAACACCGGUGGCGAAGGCGGGUCUCUGGGUAGUAACUGACGCUGAGGAGCGAAAGCGUGGGUAGCGAACAGG
rnacentral:rRNA from 1 species